GAUGAACGCUGGCGGCGUGCUUAAUACAUGCAAGUCGAGCGGACAGAUACGAAGUUUGCUGGUUUCUCGAUUGGGGCAGACGGGUGAGUAACGUGUGGGUAAUCCACCUAUCAGAGUGGUAAAACUCCGGGACAGGGGGGAAUAUCCCAGAGAACAUCUAGAUCCGCGGUGUUGUAGAGAGAAUGUCGGUGUUGCUUUCGCUUAUAGAUGGACCCGUGCCGGAUUAGGUAGUUGGUAAGGUAACGGCUUACCAAGGCAACGAUGCGUAGCCGACCUGAGGGGGGGAUGGCCGACACUGGAAGUGUGCCGCGGUCCAGGGUCCUACGGGAGGCCGCAGUAGCGACUCUUCGGCACUGGGCGGAAGCCUGCCGGAGCGGCGCCGCGCGGGUGAUGAAGGGCUUCGGAGCGUAAGACUCUGUUAUGGGUGAAGACCACAUUUGUAAGGAACUGAGCACGUCGUGACGGUACCUGGUCAGGAAGCACCGGCUAACUACGUG
rnacentral:rRNA from 1 species